GUGAGUGGGUAACGGGUUGUGUGGGUUGGCGGGCUCCGUGCUUCGGCAUCGAACCGUCCGCGCACGCUCCAUGUCAGUGACGCAUCAAGAAUUUCUUGUGCCCCGAACGGAUUCCUGUAUUUGUUGCCUAUCGUAAAGGAAUGGUUCCUCUCGUUGACCCUUUCCUUCCCCGACCCAUCCGGCCUGGGGAAGGACAUCAUAGCAACGCUUGUGCCCCUAGUUCUGAACGUGCCUCAUGGCGCGCACAUUGCGAAGGUUCCCAAGUUGCAUGCUUGAUAUCUCGGAUACGGAAAAUGCGGUGGACUCGGGGUCUUUGCACCCUUGCACGUCCAAUUUAAAGCGAAAUGUACGACCGCCAAGCUCGUUGCGGGUUUCCCGCGCGCUGCUUGGCGUCGACAAAGGAUGCUACCUGGUUGAUCCUGCCAGUAGUCAUAUGCUUGUCUCAAAGAUUAAGCCAUGCAUGUGUAAGUAUGAACUAAUUCAGACUGUGAAACUGCGAAAUGGCU
rnacentral:misc_RNA from 1 species